GUGCCUCCUUUGGCAGCACAUAUACUAAAACUAGAACGAUAUAGAGAAGACUAGCAUGGCCCCUGUGCAAGGAUGAAACACAAAUUUGUGAAACAUUUCAUAUUUUU